UACGUAGGGUGCAAGCGUUGUCCGGAAUUAUUGGGCGUAAAGAGCUCGUAGGCGGUCUGUCGCGUCUGCUGUGAAAACUCAGGGCUUAACCCUGAGCUUGCAGUGGGUACGGGCAGACUAGAGUGCGGUAGGGGAGACUGGAAUUCCUGGUGUAGCGGUGAAAUGCGCAGAUAUCAGGAGGAACACCGGUGGCGAAAGCGGCUUUCUGGUCCUUAACUGACGCUGAGGCGCGAAAGCAUGGGGAGCGAACGGG
rnacentral:rRNA from 1 species